rnacentral:rRNA from 1 species
AUUGAACGCUGGCGGCAGGCUUAACACAUGCAAGUCGAGCGGGGGAAGGUAGCUUGCUACUGGACCUAGCGGCGGACGGGUGAGUAAUGCUUAGGAAUCUGCCUAUUAGUGGGGGACAACAUCUCGAAAGGGAUGCUAAUACCGCAUACGUCCUACGGGAGAAAGCAGGGGAUCGUCGGACCUUGCGCUAAUAGAUGAGCCUAAGUCGGAUUAGCUAGUAGGUGGGGUAAAGGCCUACCAAGGCGACGAUCUGUAGCGGGUCUGAGAGGAUGAUCCGCCACACUGGGACUGAGACACGGCCCAGACUCCUACGGGAGGCAGCAGUGGGGAAUAUUGGACAAUGGGGGGAACCCUGAUCCAGCCAUGCCGCGUGUGUGAAGAAGGCCUUAUGGUUGUAAAGCACUUUAAGCGAGGAGGAGGCUACUUUAGUUAGUACCUAGAGAUAGUGACGUUACUCGCAGAAUAAGCACCGGCUAACUCUGUGCCAGCCGCCGCGGUA